AUUGAACGCUGGCGGCAGGCUUAACACAUGCAGGUCGAGCGGAGAGAGGUAGCUUGCUACUGAUCUUAGCGGCGGACGGGUGAGUAAUGCUUAGGAAUCUGCCUAUUAGUGGGGGACAACAUUUCGAAAGGAAUGCUAAUACCGCAUACGUCCUACGGGAGAAAGCAGGGGAUCUUCGGACCUUGCGCUAAUAGAUGAGCCUAAGUCGGAUUAGCUAGUUGGUGGGGUAAAGGCCUACCAAGGCGACGAUCUGUAGCGGGUCUGAGAGGAUGAUCAGUCACACUGGAACUGAGACACGGUCCAGACUCCUACGGGAGGCAGCAGUGGGGAAUAUUGGACAAUGGGCGAAAGCCUGAUCCAGCCAUGCCGCGUGUGUGAAGAAGGUCUUCAGAUUGUAAAGCACUUUAAGUUGGGAGGAAGGGCAGUAAGUUAAUACCUUGCUGUUUUGACGUUACCGACAGAAUAAGCACCGGCUAACUCUGUGCCAGCAGCCGCGGUAAGAC
rnacentral:rRNA from 1 species